GACGAACGCUGGCGGCGUGCUUAACACAUGCAAGUCGAACGAGUGGCGAACGGGUGAGUAACACGUGGGUGAUCUGCCUUGCACGUCGGGAUACGCUUGGGAAACUGGGUCAAAGACCGGAUAGUGCAAGAUGAGCUGGCGGCCUAUCAGCUUGUUGGUGGGGUAAUGGCCACCAAGGCGAGACGGGUAGCCGGCCUGAGAGGGGGUACGGGCACCAUGCGCCUGCGGGACGCCCCAGUCUCGUACGGGAGGCAGCAGUGGUGAGUAUUGCACAAUGGGGCGAAGCCUGAGGCAGCGACGCCCCGUGGGGAAUGCAGGCCUUCGGGGUGUAAACUCCUUUCGACAGAGACGCGGUACCUGUAUAAGAAGCACCGGCUAACUACGUGCCAGCAGCCGCGGUAAUAC
rnacentral:rRNA from 1 species